GUCAAGAAGAGAUGUAGGAGCACCCUCAUGGAGAGGGAUUUUUAGAAGUUCCAUUGCAUGGUUUCACAAGUUAUGCAAUGACCAUCCUACUUUCUUCUAGCUGUAAUAUUUCCAAAACUAGUUACAAGAAAUGCGAGGAUGCCCAUUGUCAUUGAUAUGGUAUGGUGAUGAAGAGAUUCACGAAAUAUGAAUGUGGAGCUCAUUAAACUUUUGCCGCUUCAGUAGGUGCACCGGCCCUCUCAGCAAUAAUCUGCUCAUAGAGAUCUCUAAUCUUCAGUCCUACGAUAGUU
rnacentral:misc_RNA from 1 species